UGUGUGCUCUGUAUCCUGUGUGAUUUGUGAGCUGUGUGCUGUGGGUGCUUUGCGUGCUCACACACCAAGUUUUGCAUCUGCCGCAGCUGCCGUCCGGACACGCCGCCGAUGCCGAGCUCGUCGUCCUGCUCGCUCUGGCUGUGGGUGGGGGUUGCAAGCGCCCCCUGCUCGGGCCUGGUGGCCCCCCCUUGCUGGAUGAAGAACUCCUACAAUCACGAUCCUGGAGCUGCUGCUCAGUCGACAUACAGCGACUUCCAAGGUCUGCCCUGACAAUCUGCCACCACCAUCUGCUCUGAGGUCUUCCCUUCCCCUUGGACGCUGGACUUAUGUAGACCAUUCCAAUGCAUGACUCAGCAACUGAUGGCCCCACACAAACUACUAUCUCAUUUUAUUGUCUUAAUUAUUCUUUGUUGUCUUAUGCAAUAGCCUAAAGGUAAAAUACGGUGCAAAAUAAGCUUAACAUACAUAUAUACAAAAUACAUAUAAUUAUCUAAUAAUUUGCCUACAAAAUAACUGACUCUUACACAUAAUAUGGUGAAUCUUUCAUGAGUGUAAGAUUUUAUUUUGUAUCUAUUAACCAAUUGUUACUUGCCUGCAUAUGGCAAAUUAGCCUGUUUAUCAGUGAAAGAAAAUACGAGCCUGUGUCCUGGUAAACGAAUAACGCGACUGUGAAGAUUGAUAUCAGCCCAUGGUUCCCAAUCUGGUCCAUGGAACAUCGGUGGAGGCUCUGCAAGGCCAUGGAAAGUGGUCCACGCAACUGUUGCAGACACUGUAAUUUACAGCCGUUUCAAUUAUGACAAAAUGUUAUGAGUGCAAUGGUGGUGAGUGGAUGUAAGUUGAGACCUGACAGUGAUCCGCAGGUGCAGCAAGAUUGUGAACCACUGAUAUAGAAAAUACAUGCCUACAAUCUCAAUUAAUAAGAAUUUUAUUUUUAUUAGAAUGCGUUUUUUAGAGAAUAUUCAUUGAACGUGCCGUUCAUUCUUUCCAUUAACAGAUCAACAGCAGAGAAAAAUGCAUGACUGCAGGUUCCCAUUAUAGCAAUGGUUCCCAGCCCUUCUCGACCUGAGGAUUGCUGCCAACCCUCAACAAACGUUUACAGACCACCAUGCACCAAAUAACCUCUAUUUAAACAUUUAAAUGACUAAAUUGCAGCAUCUGCAAGAGUUCCAUGGACCACCUCCCACAGCCUAGCAGACCACAGAUUGGAAACAACUGCUUUGGAGUAUCCUGCCUUUUUAUAUUUCACUUUGAUAAAAGUUAUCGCAUCCAGUAACAUAAA